ACUCAAAGGAAUUGACGGGGGCCCGCACAAGCGGAGGAACAUGUGGUUUAAUUCGAUGAUACGCGAGGAACCUUACCUGGGCUUAAAUGUAGAUUGCAUGUGGUGGAAACAUCCUUCCCUUCGGGGCUAUCUACAAGGUGCUGCAUGGUUGUCGUCAGCUCGUGCCGUGAGGUGUCGGGUUAAGUCCCAUAACGAGCGCAACCCUUAUCGUUAGUUGCCAUCAGGUCAUGCUGGGGACUCUAGCGAGACUGCCACCGUAAGGUGAGAGGAAGGUGGGGAUGACGUCAAAUCAGCACGGCCCUUAUGUCCAGGGCUACACACGUGUUACAAUGGCAGGUACAAAGGGCAGCUACACCGCGAGGUGAUGCUAAUCUCUAAAGCCUGUCCCAGUUCGGAUUGGAGUCUGAAACCCGACUCCAUGAAGUUGGAUUCGCUAGUAAUCGCGCAUCAGCCAUGGCGCGGUGAAUACGUUCCCGGGCCUUGUACACACCGCCCGU
rnacentral:rRNA from 1 species